rnacentral:rRNA from 1 species
CAGUCGCCGCGGUAAUACGGAGGGAGCUAGCGUUAUUCGGAAUUACUGGGCGUAAAGCGCGCGUAGGCGGUUACUCAAGUCAGAGGUGAAAGCCCGGGGCUCAACCCCGGAACUGCCUUUGAAACUAGGUGACUAGAAUCUUGGAGAGGUCAGUGGAAUUCCGAGUGUAGAGGUGAAAUUCGUAGAUAUUCGGAAGAACACCAGUGGCGAAGGCGGCUCACUGGCUCAUACUGGACGCUGAGGUGCGAAAGCGUGGGGAGCAAACAGGAUUAGAUACCCCCGUAGUCCCUGUCUCUUAUAC